rnacentral:rRNA from 1 species
CCAACGGGAUGCUUAGUACGGCGAGUGAAGCGGCAAAAGCUCAAAUUUGAAAUCUGGUACCUUCGGUGCCCGAGUUGUAAUUUGGAGAGGGCAACUUUGGGGCCGUUCCUUGUCUAUGUUCCUUGGAACAGGACGUCAUAGAGGGUGAGAAUCCCGUGUGGCGAGGAGUGCGGUUCUUUGUAAAGUGCCUUCGAAGAGUCGAGUUGUUUGGGAAUGCAGCUCUAAGUGGGUGGUAAAUUCCAUCUAAAGCUAAAUAUUGGCGAGAGACCGAUAGCGAACAAGUACAGUGAUGGAAAGAUGAAAAGAACUUUGAAAAGAGAGUGAAAAAGUACGUGAAAUUGUUGAAAGGGAAGGGCAUUUGAUCAGACAUGGUGUUUUGUGCCCUCUGCUCCUUGUGGGUAGGGGAAUCUCGCAUUUCACUGGGCCAGCAUCAGUUUUGGUGGCAGGAUAAAUCCAUAGGAAUGUAGCUUGCCUCGGUAAGUAUUAUAGCCUGUGGGAAUACUGCCAGCUGGGACUGAGGACUGCGACGUAAGUCAAGGAUGCUGGCAUAAUGGUUAUAUGCCGCCCGUCUAAAACAAGGGAAAAAAAAAAAAAAGAAAAAAGAAACAGAAAAAAAAAAAACA